CUCAAGGCCCUUUUCAGGGCCACCACACUGAGCAUGUAAUCACUA
rfam:Operophtera brumata OBRT01_Sc00243, whole genome shotgun sequence.